rnacentral:rRNA from 1 species
CAAUAGCGUAUAUUUAAGUUGUUGCAGUUAAAAAGCUCGUAGUUGGAUUUCGGGUGGGUGUUAGCGGUCCGGCUCUGCUGUGUACUGCUAGUGCCUAUCUUUCUGUCGGGGACGGGCUCUUGGGCUUCAUUGUCCGGGACUCGGAGUCGACGUGGUUACUUUGAGUAAAUUAGAGUGUUCAAAGCAAGCGUUCGCUGUGAAUACAUUAGCAUGGAAUAACACGAUAGGACUCUGGCUUAUCUUGUUGGUCUGUAAGACCGGAGUAAUGAUUAAGAGGGACAGUCGGGGGCAUUCGUAUUUCAUUGUCAGAGGUGAAAUUCUUGGAUUUAUGAAAGACGAACUU